UCCACCCUCAUGACCUAUUUACCUCCCAAAGGCUCCAUCUCCAAAUACCAUCACAAUGGGGAUUAGAAUUCAACAUAGGAGUUUUGGGAGGACACAAACAUUCAGUCCAUAACACCAAGUACAGUCCACAAGGAGCACAACUGCCCUUGGGAUAAGAAUAAUAGUAAUAGCUAACAUAUAUGGAGUACUUAAAGAAAGACAGUCUACCUAGCACUUGACAUACAUUAUCUAACUUAAUCUCUGAGACUCUAUGAGGUAACUACUAUUAUUGUUUUAAGUAAAAGGGUAUCAAAACCUUGACAGGUCAACUAACUUUUCCAAGUAGCAUCUAGUAAAUGGAACAGCUAAGCUAGAUUUGCUGGAUUCCAAAGCCCCAGCUUUUAGCCAAACCCUCUGUAGAUCUACAUAUCAUUAUUUUUUGUUUCCCAGUCAUGAGAAAUUCCAUUGUAAAUAAAUAUGCUUCCACUUGAGA
rnacentral:lncRNA from 10 species